AUGUCUAUGGCCAGCGAUUUCUACCUGCACUACUACGUAGGGCACAAGGGCAAGUUUGGGCACGAGUUUCUGGAGUUCGAAUUUCGGCCAGACGGAAAGCUUAGAUAUGCCAACAGCAGCAAUUACAAAAAUGAUGUCAUGAUCAGAAAAGAGGCUUAUGUGCACAAGAGUGUAAUGGAAGAACUGAAGAGAAUUAUUGAUGACAGUGAAAUUACAAAAGAAGAUGAUGCUUUGUGGCCUCCCCCUGACAGGGUUGGCUGACAGGAGCUUGAAAUUGUCAUUGGAGAUGAGCACAUAUCUUUUACCACAUCAAAAAUAGGUUCUCUUAUUGAUGUAAAUCAGUCAAAGGAUCCUGAAGGCCUUGGAGUAUUUUACUAUUUGGUACAAGACUUGAAAUGUUUAGUUUUCAGUCUCAUUGGAUUACACUUCAAGAUUAAACCAAUUUAA